rnacentral:rRNA from 1 species
GUGGGGAAUAUUGCACAAUGGGGGAAACCCUGAUGCAGCAACGCCGCGUGAGUGAUGACGGCCUUCGGGUUGUAAAGCUCUGUCUUCAGGGACGAUAAUGACGGUACCUGAGGAGGAAGCCACGGCUAACUACGUGCCAGCAGCCGCGGUAAUACGUAGGUGGCAAGCGUUGUCCGGAUUUACUGGGCGUAAAGGGAGCGUAGGCGGACUUUUAAGUGAGAUGUGAAAUACCCGGGCUCAACCUGGGUGCUGCAUUUCAAACUGGAAGUCUAGAGUGCAGGAGAGGAGAGUGGAAUUCCUAGUGUAGCGGUGAAAUGCGUAGAGAUUAGGAAGAAUACCAGUGGCGAAGGCGCCUUUCUGGACUGUAACUGACGCUGAGGCUCGAAAGCGUGGGGAGCAAACAGGAUUAGAAACCCCGGUAGUCC